rnacentral:rRNA from 1 species
UACAGAGGGGGCAAGCGUUGUUCGGAAUUACUGGGCGUAAAGGGCGCGUAGGCGGCCUGCUAAGUCGAACGUGAAAUCUCCGAGCUCAACUCGGGAACUGCGUCCGAUACUGGCAGGCUUGAAUCCGGGAGAGGGAUGCGGAAUUCCAGGUGUAGCGGUGAAAUGCGUAGAUAUCUGGAGGAACACCGGUGGCGAAGGCGGCAUCCUGGACCAAUUCUGACGCUGAGUGAGCGAAAGCCAGGGGAGCAAACGGG